UUUCCGGGGCAAACAAAUUAUUUUCUGUUUGAAACGAAACCACAAAAUUUAUUUAAGUAUAGAAAUACAAAAAAUCUUUUUUACUUAUCUUCAAUUCUCCCUUUGUUUCUUCAGCCUCCUCUGUAUCUUUUCUCAAUCUUCUCUCUUCAACCUUCUAAUAUAGCUGUUGCUUCCUAAUUCGUGUUUAAGAUGAAUCUCCUAGGCGUCAAUCUUAAAAUCGCUUCUUUCAUGCCUCAGUUCCAUAGCUCACGAUCCGAUUGUAAUUUAUGCGCUUCUUGGGUUAGGUUCUGUCUCUGUUUCUGCAAACGACGAAGUUUUGUGUACUGCUUGAUAUCAAGGAGAAAACUUUGAAGAAGCUGUCUAAGCAGUAUGUGUGUUCCAGACUGUCUUUGUUUUCUAUUUGUUCUCACAUACUUACCAAACUCUUUGUUUCUAUCUUCGUGCAAGGACAUGAUAUACGAAUCCAAGUAGCAGGGGUCACUUGUACAGUUCUCUGGCUCUAAGGAAAUUCAAAUGAUGCUGGAGAUUGCGGUGGCAUCCCUGUGUUUAAUACUUAUAAUGUCACUGCAUUUGAGAAGAUGGCCAAACACGAAGUAAUGCUAUAGGGCGAUCUUAGGAGGAGCCAUACUUGUUCCUGAAGUCGCAAUGCAAGUAGCAAAGAAGAGACAUAAUUGAUUGAUAUCAGUGACGAGGAAGUAACAAGUCUCGAAGGAGAUUUAAGUUUGGGUAUAAGGAUGAGUGGUACGUAGGCAAAUCGAACCUCCGGUCAAGUUUGAUAUAGCCAAGAGACCAGGAGCAAAGAGAUACCGUGCACCAGUUUAGAUUUAGGUUUUUAUUAGGUUUUCAAAACCAGUUUAUUAUUUAUGAACCAGUUUUAAUUUGUAAACCAUAUU